rnacentral:rRNA from 1 species
GACGAACCGUGCGAACGUUAUUCGGAAUCACUGGGCUUAAAGCGCGUGUAGGCGGGAGGGCACGUCCGUUGCUGAAAUCCCCCGGCUCAACCGGGGAACGGGCGCGGAUACGACCUUCCUGGAGGGGCGUGAGGGGGACCUGGAACUUCCGGUGGAGCGGUGAAAUGCGUUGAGAUCGGAAGGAACGCCCGUGGCGAAAGCGAGGUCCUGGACGCCUACUGACGC